CGGGGACGUCUCUGGGCUGUCCCCUGCUAGGGCAGCCCUGCCUGCCACCAGCCCUGCCUGCCACCAGCCGCAAGCCACUCGGAGCUUUCCUGACCCUGACCCCAGCUCGCGAUGAGGUUGUCCGCAUGAUUGCUGCUGUUGCGCAGCUUUGGUCCUGAGCUCUUGCUUUAGUGCAAGGAUUGCAAGCAAAGGCACUUCAGCAGAGAGGUAAAUGCUUUGCAGUGCUGGUUUCUCGGACAACCCCGAAAUGAGCUGACGGGCACGGCGCAGGCUGGGCUGGCUGCCUGGGAGGCAGAGUGCAGGAGAGCCUCGGAGAGCGGCGUGGAGGAAGAGGAGGAGGAGAAGGAUGCCAGGAGAAAGAGGACGGGACCAGGGGCACGUAUGCUACCAGCUGGACACGCUGCAUCCCGCGGGCUGUGUUUGCAGAAACGCUCUGAUCUCUCGUUUUUAAGCCCCACGUUUCAAUCCCCCUCGGAGCGAAGGUAAA